AAACGGCGGCCGUAACUAUAACGGUCCUAAGGUAGCGAAAUUCCUUGUCGGGUAAGUUCCGACCUGCACGAAUGGUGUAACGAUCUGGGCACUGUCUCAACUAUGAGCUCGGUGAAAUUGUAGUUCCGGUGAAGAUGCCGGAUACCCGCAACGGGACGGAAAGACCCCGUGCACCUUCACUAUAGCUUAACAUUGACAUUGAAUAAACGAUGUGUAGGAUAGGUGGGAGAUUGUGAAGCGGCUUCGCCAGGAGUCGUGGAAUCAACCUUGAAAUACCACCCUUUGUUUAUUCGGUGCCUAAUCCCGCUUUUGCGGGAGACAUUGUUUGGUGGGUAGUUUGACUGGGGUGGUCGCCUCCAAAAGAGUAACGGAGGCUUUCAAAGGUACCCUCAGCACGCUUGGUAACCGUGCGUAGAGUGCAAUGGCAUAAGGGUGCUUGACUGUGAGACCAACAAGUCGAUCAGGUGCGAAAGCAGGACAUAGUGAUCCGGUGGUUCCGUAUGGAAGGGCCAUCGCUCAAAGGAUAAAAGGUACGCCGGGGAUAACAGGCUGAUCACUCCCAAGAGCUCACAUCGACGGAGUGGUUUGGCACCUCGAUGUCGGCUCGUCACAUCCUGGGGCUGGAGAAGGUCCCAAGGGUUCGGCUGUUCGCCGAUUAAAGUGGCACGUGAGCUGGGUUCAGAACGUCGCGAGACAGUUCGGUCCCUAUCUGUUGUGGGCGUUAGAAGUUUGAGAGCACCUGACUCUAGUACGAGAGGACCGAGUCGGACAUACCUCUAGUGCACCUGUUGUUGCGCCAGCUGCAUCGCAGGGUAGCCACGUAUGGACGAGAUAAGCGCUGAAAGCAUAUAAGUGCGAAACUCAGCUCAAGAUGAGACUUCUUUUAAGGGUCGUUGUAGACUACGACGUUGAUAGGUCGCAGGUGUAAAGGCAGUAAUGUCAAAGCCGAGCGAUACUAAUUACCCGUAAACUUUCUUAAG
rnacentral:rRNA from 1 species